GGUGCAGGCGGCUCUUCAAGUCGGUUAUAAAAUCUCUUGGCUUAACUAAGAGGGACUGACCGAUACUGUUGGGCUGGAGAGCAGCAGAGGGAGAUGGAAUUCCCGGUGUAGUGGUGAAAUGCGUAGAUAUCGGGAGGAACAUCAGUGGCGAAAGCGGUCUCCUAGGCUGUUUCUGACGCUGAGGCCCUAAAGCGUGGGGAGCAAACAGGAUUAGAUACCCUGGUAGUCCACGCCCUAAACUAUGGAUACUAGGUAUGGGGGGUAUCGACCCCCUCCGUGCCGAAGUUAACACGUUAAGUAUCCCGCCUGGGGAGUACGGCCGCAAGGUUAAA
rnacentral:rRNA from 1 species